rnacentral:hammerhead_ribozyme from 1 species
GCACUGCUGAAGAGUCCCAAAAUAGGACGAAACAGCUGUCCAGUAC